rnacentral:lncRNA from 1 species
GAAGCCAGUUGUACAGGAACUGCCAAAGGCAACAGAAAUUCUUUCUCCCUAUGUCCCAGCCUACCCCCACUUUACCGAGGCCAACAGCCGCCUCAGAAACCAGAUUCAGGAGCUAACAUGCCCCAGGUCUCACGAGGAUCAGAGACUCCAGAGGCCAGGGAAGGAGAUCAAGGUAGUCAAGCGGGGGUCGUCUCAGAUCUGGUUGUGCUCGAGCUAUGCAAAUGCCUCUCACGGAGAUGCGAGGACCUAUCUAUUAUGAUGACCAGGGCCACAUCCGGAGGGGGCAACAGACUUUCAUCUAUCAGCCCUUUUCAACCACUGAUCUACUAAACUGGAAACACUCUGAACCCUGCCAUCUUGCUCCUGGUAUCAGAGAGCCCUGUCGUGCAUAACUGUGUAGAAGUGUUGGACUCGGUUUACUCCAGCAGACCUGAUCUCCGGGACCAGCCUUGGGCAUCAGUAGACUGGAAGCUAUAUGUGGACAGGAGCAGCUUCAUCAACCCACAAGGAGAGAGAUGUGCGGGAUAUGUGGUGGAACCCUGGACACUGUCGUUGAAGCCAGAUCGUUGCUCCAAGGCACUUCAGCCCAGAAAGAUGAGCUCAUUGCUUUAAUUUGGGCCUUAGAACUCAGUUAAGGCCUUCUACGGUCCCAGGCUUUCUGCUGCAUACACUGAAGGGCCACGAAGUACAGUCAUCUGGACUUGGCACCUGGAAUACAAGGAUGGAAAGCAUCAUUUCUGCCAGCUUCUUAUGGUCCUGAGGCGAGACAGUCAUGAGAGAGGAAAACUGCAAUGACUUCUGACCACUGCCAGCCUCGCUUCCUGCAUUUUCUUCUUCGGCUUACUCUUGCCAAGUUGGAGUUGCCUAACUUCCAAGAGGUGGACCCAUAGGGGACCCAAAGGGACCCAUAGACUCCCAGAGACCUGGAGGAUGCAGGUAUCAUGUGGUCAUUGCCACAGAACCAUGAUGUGUUAGGAAGAUGGCAGAAGACUGUGGAAGAUGUGCAUUUUUUUAAAUAACAAGGACAGGAAACUCAGGGAAUAUCUGGAUAAAGCAGGGAUUGGCCUGGGAUGUUCCAGAUGAAGACAGGGCUGCAGGCUUGCCAAAGGACCCCCCCGUGGGGAUGGUGGUCCUUUGGAUCAAGUUGUGGUCCAGGUACAAGAGGCACAUCAUCAGGAUUCUCCCCACAGUGGAGGCCUCCAGGAGACCAGAGAGAGGUUCUUCUUUUGACUUACAUCACCAUCUUAAAAAACAGCACUAUUACCCAAAGGACAAAUUAGCAGAGAAGAGGAAUGAGUUGUGCACAUUGGCACUGUGUCAACUUGGAACGAAGGGGAGCACGGAUAUUGUUCACAAUAUACCCCAAACCAAAUCGUCAUUAAAAACAAAAGCCAUGGCCGGGCAUGGUGGCUCACGCCUGUAAUCCCAGCACUUUGGGAGGCCAAGGCAGGCAGAUCACAAGGUCAGGAGAUCGAGACCAUCCUGGCUAACACGGUGAAACCCCGUCUCUACUAAAAAAAAUACAAAAAAUUAGAUGGGUGUGGUGGCAGGUGCCUGUAGUCCCAGCUACUUGGGAGGCUGAGGCAGGAGAAUGGUGUGAACCCGGGAGGUGGAGCUUGCAAUGAGACCAGACGAGAUCAAGCCGCUGCACUCCAGCCUAGGCCACAGAGCGAGACUCCUUCUCAAAAAAAAAGAAAAAAAAAAGCACCAAAAGAAAAAAAG